rnacentral:tmRNA from 1 species
CCACUAUAUUCCCCUUGCCGGUCGCAAGGCCGGCUAUGGCGAUAAACGUUCUUCGAAAUAAACCUAUCGGACCCGGGGGCGGUACCCGGCGCCUCCACCCGAGCCCAGGACAUGCUGCCGCAAGGCACGUGGCUCGAAGCCUGGGCUUCGGCGGGGGCGAAAUAGGAUCGACGAGGGCGUAAAGGUUGAGCUUUCGCUCGGCAUGGUUCCGCCGUUAUCGGGCCAUUGCAAUAGUUGCCAACGACAACUUUGCUCCGGUGGCGGUGGCCGCGUAAGCGGUCCCCA